GAUGAACGCUGGCGGCGUGCCUAAUACAUGCAAGUCGAGCGAACGGACGAGAAGCUUGCUUCUCUGAUGUUAGCGGCGGACGGGUGAGUAACACGUGGAUAACCUACCUAUAAGACUGGGAUAACUUCGGGAAACCGGAGCUAAUACCGGAUAAUAUUUUGAACCGCAUGGUUCAAAAGUGAAAGACGGUCUUGCUGCCACUUAUAGAUGGAUCCGCGCUGCAUUAGCUAGUUGGUAAGGUAACGGCUUACCAAGGCAACGAUGCAUAGCCGACCUGAGAGGGUGAUCGGCCGCCCUGGAACUGAGACACGGUCCAGGCUCCUACGGGAGGCAGCAGUAGGGAAUCUUCCGCAAUGGGCGAAAGCCUGACGGAGCAACGCCGCGUGAGUGAUAAAGGUCUUCGGAUCGUAAAACUCUGUUAUGGGGGAAAAACAUAUGUGUAAGUAACUGUGCACAUCUUGACGGUACCUAAUCAAAAAGCCACGGCUAACUACGUG
rnacentral:rRNA from 1 species